GUUAUACAUCUCUACCAUUACCUAGCCUGAAAAGCCACCUCAGAUUCAGCCAACAAAGAUUGCUGAUUUGCUCCUUAAGCAAGAGAUUCACUGCUGCUCAGCAUGGCUCAGACCAACUCAUGCUUCAUGCUGAUCUCCUGCCUGAUGUUCCUGUCUCUGAGCCAAGGAGGCCCAUGCUGAGUUGCCCAAGGCCCAGAUCAGCUGCCCAGAAGGCACCAGUGCCUAAGGCUCCCACUGCUACUACUUUAAUGAAGAGCAUGAGACCUGGGUUUAUGCAGAUGUGAGUGAGGAGAGCAGUGUGGGAAGGGAGGCUCACGAAGGGAGGGGAAGCUGCCACUCUCCAGUGUGUUCAGUGGCUGAUAUGAGAUGAGACUAAUCCCCUCCCUAUCCAAUCAUCAGCCCAAAACUUUCCAAUCUACUUUAUCCCAUCAUUCAGCACAGAGAUGCUGGUGGUCAGUGACAGCAUCAUCAGGGACAUUUCUGUGCUGUCCUUUUUCUGUUACAUCCUCUGGGAGGGCUCAAUAUGUCUCCCACACUUUCCUCCUUCACUGAGUGCUCCAUUUUCUUCU
rnacentral:lncRNA from 1 species